rnacentral:rRNA from 1 species
GGAUAACGUUUGGAAACGAACGCUAAUACCGCAUGAUAUUAUUGAGCUGCAUGGCUUGAUAAUCAAAGGAGCAAUCCGCUGAAAGAUGGGCUCGCGUCCGAUUAGGUAGUUGGCGGGGCAACGGCCCACCAAGCCGACGAUCGGUAGCCGGACUGAGAGGUUGAACGGCCACAUUGGGACUGAGACACGGCCCAGACUCCUACGGGAGGCAGCAGUGAGGGAUAUUGGUCAAUGGGGGAAACCCUGAACCAGCAACGCCGCGUGAGGGAAGACGGUUUUCGGAUUGUAAACCUCUGUCCUCUGUGAAGAUAAUGACGGUAGCAGAGGAGGAAGCUCCGGCUAACUACGUGCCAGCAGCCGCGGUAAUACGUAGGGAGCAAGCGUUGUCCGGAUUUACUGGGUGUAAAGGGUGCGUAGGCGGCUUUGCAAGUCAGAAGUGAAAUCCAUGGGCUUAACCCAUGAACUGCUUUUGAAACUGCAGAGCUUGAGUGGAGUAGAGGUAGGCGGAAUUCCCGGUGUAGCGGUGAAAUGCGUAGAGAUCGGAAGGAACACCAGUGGCGAAGGCGGCCUGCUGGGCUCUAACUGACGCUGAGGCACGAAAGCGUGGGUAGCAAACAGGAUUAGAUACCCUGGUAGUCCACGCUGUAAACGAUGAUUACUAGGUGUGGGUGGACUGACCCCAUCCGUGCCGGA